CGCAAUACCAAGGGGUGUCUUCGGUUUAUACCGACAGGCUGAGAUGCGAUAGCAAACCCUUUGUACCUGAUCCGGUUCAUACUGGCGUAGGGAUGGUAGCUUUCAUCGAG
rnacentral:ncRNA from 2 species